rnacentral:rRNA from 1 species
AGGGGACUUCGGUCCCUGAGUAGAGCGGCGCACGGGUGGGUAACGCGUGGAUAAUCUCCCCAGAAGUUCGGGAUAACGGCGGGAAACUGCCGCUAAUACCGGAUACGCUCCAAUUUCGGUUGGGGGAAAGGCGGCCUCUGUUUACAAGCUGUCGCUUCUGGAUGAGUCCGCGUCCCAUUAGCUUGUUGGUGGGGUAAUGGCCUACCAAGGCUACGAUGGGUAGCUGGUCUGAGAGGAUGAUCAGCCACACUGGAACUGAAACACGGUCCAGACUCCUACGGGAGGCAGCAGUGGGGAAUAUUGCGCAAUGGGGGAAACCCUGACGCAGCGACGCCGUGUGAGGGAUGAAGGCUUUCGGGUCGUAAACCUCUGUCGGGAGGGAAGAACCUUCCAGGUCUGAAUAAGGCUUGGAACUGACGGUACCUCCAAAGGAAGCACCGGCUAACUCCGUGCCAGCAGCCGCGGUAAUACGGAGGGUGCAAGCGUUAAUCGGAAUCACUGGGCGUAAAGCGCGCGUAGGCGGUCUUUUAAGUCGGACGUGAAAGCCCUCGGCUCAACCGGGGAACUGCGUUCGAAACUGGGAGACUUGAGUCCUGGAGAGGGUGGCGGAAUUCCGGGUGUAGGAGUGAAAUCCGUAGAUAUCCGGAGGAACACCGGUGGCGAAGGCGGCCACCUGGACAGGUACUGACGCU